UUACGUCUCAGCCUCCACCUAUAACGGUAAACCCACUAUCCCUCACACGCCCCUUUGCCUAACGGCACUUUAACAUAAGCCAUAACGGGUUCCCACAAUUUUUUGCUUACAUAGCAUUCUUGAUCCACAAACGGAUACACCCCCUUUUCCCGUUCCUCCAACAAAUGCAAAAGAACAAUAUUCAUAUUUCAUUUUAUUCAAAGUGAAAUAUGAAUAUUUUAUAAACAAGUGCAUUCUUCUCCCACGGGAGACACUUUGCAUUUCGAUAAGCACUAUGUGGAAUAGUUCACAAGAUAGCAUUAAUUAUUUUAUAAGUUUAGUCUUAAUACAACAAGCUCUAAAAGAGGUGCAGCCUUGCUAUGGACAGCGGCCUCUUCGUGAGCAAUUAAUAAUAAUAAAUAAUAAUUGUAAAAUCAUUAAUUAAUAAAAAUAAUAAAUAAAUAAAGAAAAAAAAGAAAAGAAAAUAUAAACAAAUAAAAAGAACUUUAUGUUUUUCUUAAACAAACGUUAAGACUCAAAAUAUAACUGGCGCAGUCGGUCUGUUCGAUUAAGAACAAAACGUGAACAACGCGAUCGAUAAAGUAAUAUAAAGUAAUCUGUUCGAUUAAGAACAAAACGCGAACAACGCGAUCGAUAAAGUAAUAUAAAGUAACAAUUUCGAUCAAGAACAAAUAACGUUAUAUUAAAGUACAAUUAAGUACAAACUCGAUAGAAAGUGCAAAAAAAACAAAAUUAAAAUUAAUUACCUAUAAAAAAAAACAAGAACAAACAACGUUAUAUUAAAGUACGAUUAAGUACAAAUUCGACAGAAAGUGCAAUCCCACGACAAAAAAUAAAAAUUAAUUAUAAAAAAAAAAAAAAAAACACGAACGACGCGAUCGAUAAAGUAAUAUAUAAUAAGUUCGAACAAGAACAACCAACGUUAUAUUAAAGUGCGAAAGUACAAUCCCACAACACAAAAAUAAAAAUUAAUUAUAAAAAAAAUUUGUAUGGACAUAGAAGAGCUAGCAAAAUUAUUCAGUGAUAUAAAACUAAAUAACAACAUGACCGAAUCAACAUCAGCAGCAGAAGCAGCAGCGGCAGCAUUAGCAGCAGCACGAGCAAGACUUACCAAUACAGCAACAGGAAUGCUCAAUAUCGAUCGUAUGCGGAAAUUAUUCAUUCGAGUUCGAAAAAAAAUGGAAACUGCGUUCAACACGUAAUACUAAUUUACGAAUUCCGUGUGCGUUCUUUUGUUUUUCUGUAUAGAUGGGCAAUGCGAAUUUAUAUAUUGCGAUUUUACUAAAGUGGUUUGGGAAAGAAAAAAUCAUGACAGCGAUUAAAACUACUUUCGAUGAAACAGGCGAAGAAGACAACGUUGAUUAAGAUUUUUUUGUUACUAAGAAGCCAUUUUUCACCAAAAAUCAAGUGAUUUUUAAACCUAAAAAUUGGUUUUGAAUGAAUUAACUAAAAAAGUAUCGUUAACGCCAAAAACUAAAAAAAAAAACCGCAUUACCAAACCAAAUUACGAGACAAAAUACUACAAUAUACGAAAGGUAGUAAA